CUAAGGUGAUAAAUACUUGCAAGAAUGAAAAACACAGAGGUAUGGACAAUGGCCCACUCUGUAACGACCGCAUUGGGAAGGCUAACACAAUAGUGUUGUUAGUUUGAGUCUGAUAUGACACAUCAAGACAUACACCAAUGCCACAGUUAAACCAGGGCAUACGACCAGGGAUGAAUUUUUAGAAGGAACAAAAUUGGAUGACAAGAAACACAUGGAAAUCAAG